rnacentral:rRNA from 1 species
GAUGAACGCUAGCGGCAGGCCUAACACAUGCAAGUCGAGGGAGGAGCCUUCGGGCUUCGACCGGCGUACGGGUGCGUAACGCGUAUACAAUCUGCCUUUCACAUAGGGAUAGCCCGAAGAAAUUUGGAUUAAUACCUAAUGGUAUAUAGAUGUGGCAUCACCUUUAUAUUAAAGCUGAGGCGGUGAAAGAUGAGUAUGCGUUCUAUUAGCUAGUUGGAGAGGUAACGGCUCCCCAAGGCGACGAUAGAUAGGGGUUCUGAGAGGGAUAUCCCCCACACUGGUACUGAGAUACGGACCAGACUCCUACGGGAGGCAGCAGUGAGGAAUAUUGGACAAUGGUCGGAAGACUGAUCCAGCCAUGCCGCGUGCAGGAAGACGGCCUUUGGGUUGUAAACUGCUUUUGCAGGGGAAGAAUAAGGACUACGCGUAGUUUGAUGACGGUACUCUGCGAAUAAGCAGCGGCUAACUCCGUG